AACGAACGCUGGCGGCAGGCUUAACACAUGCAAGUCGAGCGCAUCCUUCGGGGUGAGCGGCAGACGGGUGAGUAACGCGUGGGAAUCUACAUUUUGCUACGGAAUAGCUCCGGGAAACUGGAAUUAAUACCGUAUGUGCCCUUAGGGGGGAAGAUUUAUCGGCAAGGUUUGAGCCAGCGUUGGAUUAGAUAGUUGGGAGGGUAAAGGCCUACGAAGGCGACGAUCCAUAGAUGGUCUGUGAGAAUGAUUAGCCACAUUUGGACUGGGAAGCGGCCCAAAAUCUUACGGGAGGGGCGAGAGGGGGAUGGUGGAACGUGGGCGCAAGGAUGAACCAGCCAUGCCGGGUGAGUGCUGAAGGCCUUAGGGAAGUAAAGCUCUUUCACCGGUGAAGAUAUUGACGGUACCUGGAGAAGAAGCCCCGGCUAACUUCGUG
rnacentral:rRNA from 1 species